GAGAUAGCUGGUUCUCCCCGAAAGCUAUUUAGGUAGCGCCUCGUGAAUUCAUCUCCGGGGGUAGAGCACUGUUUCGGCAAGGGGGUCAUCCCGACUUACCAACCCGAUGCAAACUGCGAAUACCGGAGAAUGUUAUCACGGGAGACACACGGCGGGUGCUAACGUCCGUCGUGAAGAGGGAAACAACCCAGACCGCCAGCUAAGGUCCCAAAGUCAUGGUUAAGUGGGAAACGAUGUGGGAAGGCCCAGACAGCCAGGAUGUUGGCUUAGAAGCAGCCAUCAUUUAAAGAAAGCGUAAUAGCUCACUGGUCGAGUCGGCCUGCGCGGAAGAUGUAACGGGGCUAAACCAUGCACCGAAGCUGCGGCAGCGACACUGUGUGUUGUUGGGUAGGGGAGCGU
rnacentral:rRNA from 1 species